AUGCACAUCAAUACUAUUGUAUGUGAAUACUAUUAUUGUUAUUUACUUACACUAUACUCUGUAAGUCCGCGACCAAAUGUUGAUUUAAAAACAAUUCAGCUUGAUUACAGUAUGUAUAGGCACGCCAAGUGAAUAUGCUUUACCACCAAAAUAAACAUCAUCCCUAAAUUUAUUCUGUGUAGAUAUGCACACCUAAACAGAGAUUAUAAAAAGUGCUAUAACAAAAACAAAAAUAAUAAAGAAUUAAUACAGAUUAUAUUGAAAAAUUCUUUAUCAUACAAUAGCGUUUGUAAGUAACCACAAGAGGGCGCAAUGUACUAUAGGACACGAAUGACAGUGGUGUAUGAAACAGAUUUGAGCUGCAUUUCCCUAAAGCUUUGUAAACUUAAGUACAUCAUAGACUCAAUAAAACCAAUGAAUCUGGGAGGUGGGGUUUAAAACAUGGAUAUCUGACGUUGUUGAAAAACUGCAAGUCUGUUAGAGAGAGAAUAAGAAACACACACAAUGAUUCUCAAUUCUGUAAUUCUGCUUUUUGCCUUUGCAUAUGCAGCAUAUGGAAAUGAAAUUAAACCUACCAAAACUUUGGAGUUUGCUGAGGAGGGUUCAAGUGUUACAUUAUCCUACAGUUAUUCAUCUGCAUUAACUCUCUACUGGUACCGUCAGUAUCCCGGAUCGGCUCCUGAGUUUAUUGUGUUCAUCUCAGGCAGUGCAAAAGAUGAUCAGGAAUCUAUUGUAGAUCCCAGAUUCACUGCCAAAGUCACCAAAGACAAAGAAAACCAUGUGGAUCUGAAGAUCUCCUCUGUAUCUAUAACAGACUCUGCUCUGUACUACUGCGCUCUGCAGCCCACAGUGACAGGAAACACAAGAACACUGUACAAAAACCUGGUUCACAGUAUUGCAUCUACAUCACACAUAUCCAAGCUCCAUAUCUGCUGUAACACAAGGGAACUACCCUCUAAUCAGUAAAAACAGUAUAGAUUGUCAUUCACAAUCACAACAUAAAAAAUAUAUAACAUGCAGGGUUAAAGAUUAAAAAACAAAGGUUUAAAAAUGUUAAAAGAUGCUUCUCCAGAUAUUCAUAACAUUUUAUACAGCAACCAUGUUAAAAGGGUGAUAAAAUCAUAUUUAUAUGCAUUUUCUUUUUCCCAGCUGCAGGAAAGAAGGGUUUAUAUCUGAGGGUAUUUUAAUGAACCUGACAGAGACUGAGUCAUAAGAUCAUUUAAACUCAGACUGUAAGCAUGCAGUACAUUCAAUGAUAUGAUGCUCUAGUGGUUAAUAAACAGAACUGCUUGCGGAAGGACAUUGUAGCCGGAGCUACUUCUCUCUGUUUAUGUCUAUGAAGAAUCACAAAGGUUACUCCGCC